CUUCCAAAAGACAUCAACGUAUCGGUAGAGGGUAAUUGCGCUUGCUUCAUCAAAAGCUUUGGAGAAUUGCGUGCCUUCUUUGUAUAAUCCAUACAUGCUGUCAAGUUCCACACCUAGUGCAACUUUGAAAACUGAGUCCAAGCCUCGGAAACUAUACCAACAAGCUUUACCACAGUAGUUUUAAAGACGACACUGCUAAAGUCCCUCACUAUUUUGGUGGAGAAUUCAUAGCUUGCUAGCUUCCUCUGCAGCCGCCACUUCUCUCCAUCCACUGUGAAGAUCCCAUCUCCCAGAAGAUCCGUCAAAAUGUCAUAGUGGUUCCAGCCCUGCUUUCAAUCUUGUAAACUUCAGGUUCGCAAGAUUGAAGUAGGUGAUUGAUGAUUGGGAGCCAUUUGAGUUAUUUAGGAUUGGGGGUUAAACCAAGACAAAAGAGGGCCUGAACGUACCCAGUCUAUGAUCGAUUUAAGUUCUCCUAUGAUAUGAAAUAUGCAAAAACAUGUGUGAGUACAUACUUGGUACCAGCUACGCGAGUGUUUACAUGCGUCUCAUCUUCAGGGAAGAGCUGGGCCAUGCCAAAAUCAGCAAUUUUGGGAACCCAAUUGCCAUCCAAGAUGCUUGUAGAAAAUGCUAUGUCAGGCUGAGAAACUUUUUCAAAACAGUAGCAUUAUAAUGUUACUUUUUCAAAACAAUAACAUUAAAACAUUAAAAGGUUCAUUUGAGACCCUAAACAGUAAGAUUUGACAAAAAUAGGAUGGGGCUUGCAGCAAUGAUGUUGUUAGUCUUGAUCACCACUUCGAGAUAGUCAUACGGUCAAAUUCAAGCAAUUCCGACAACGUUACUAUUUUAAGGUUACUAUUUCAAAACAGUAAAACACUAAAACAUUAAAAGAUUUAUUUGAGACCCUAAAAAUUGAAAUUUGAUAAAAAUAAGGUUGGGUUAGUACAUAGAUACUAGUCUUGAUCAACACGUCGAAACUAGUCAUCCGAUAAAAUUUUGCGUGAUUAUGAUAAUGUUACUUUUUUAAAUGUUACUGUUUUUCAUCCCAAAAAAAAGUGUUUCACAAGCUCUCAUAGAUAGUUUUAGUUCUUAAUUGUGGAAAACAUGUAACUAUGCCGAAGAAAGAAUUAUAGAUGAACCGAUGUGUCCAACAGUUCACUACUAAUGAUGGAGGUUAGAAAAUUCGAUCUCGUACUUUUCAUUAAUGGCCACCAUUAUUUAAUCCAAUUCAGAUAUAUAAUGGAAGAUUUUUCUUUAAGAAAUUUUUUUUAUUACAUCUUGAAAAUGGGGUUUAAGUUACUCUCCUACCCUGACUCAGAUGUAGCACAACAGUUAUCUUGGAACCACUGAACUCCAACUCUUAAACUUUCCCUUUUCCAACCACAACCUAUACAAGCACAUCUCUUGAUCAACAUCCAUAAAUAUUUAGAUAAUUGGGAAUAUUACAAUUCAAUUUAAGCAAUCUCACCUCCCUCAUUUUCCUCUGAAAUUAUCUACAUGAUAAUUUAGAAGAGAGUUAACCCAACACUCGAGUGUAUCACGUAGCAGUUGGUGUAAUCCAAAGACAUAGAAUAAAAAAAAACAUAAAGGUUAAGAAAAGCCAUAAUGAAGGAAAGAAGAUUCUCUAAAAUUGCAAUAAAUAAUGAAGCCUAAUGAAAUAGAAGAUAAAGGAGGACUGCAGGACUUGAAAAGUAAAUAGAUUCCAUAUUCUCCAUUAACAAAAAAUACUUGAGACCCAAUAAUUCCUCAAUUUUUUAUCUAUAACCAUAAUCAAAAGUAAAAUAAAAUUAUCAACAGCAGCAACAGUACAAGCUGCAAAUUUAAAAACAGGGCCAUAUUCACAUGAUUUCAUUGACCUACAAUAGCAAUAGGCACGGCUGCCAAAGGUUAUCUUAACAUAAUGGAAGCAACUUAAAAGUCAGAGAUAAAGGGAAUUCGCAAACAUAAUACCUCUGCGAAGGCUUUCGCUGGCUGCGGCAAACUUGCUCUCCAAAUUCACUUCUCCCACGGCAUUAGCAGCAGCACGCAACUGAAAAAUAACCAAGCAAAAACAAAACACUUUAGCAUUUGAACUCAAAAACUUCCAUUUCCAAUAGCUCAAUCAGUAACUUAUUCCUCAAAUCUUCAAAUCAGGGCAAAAGAAAGAGAAUUUUCAUUCCAGGAACUAUGUAUUGCCACUAAACUACUGUCUGUGAGCUCUGGAGAUGGAAUUGAACAGCAAUUGAAAUUGGUGGCGAUGUCCCAUCUGCCAAGCAUGGCUGCCUUCCUCUGUUAAACUAAACCUACUACUUGACCUCGACAGCCAGACUCAAAGCCCACCACAACCUAUGAGAAAACGAGGAGGCGUCCAUUUCUUUAUAUCAACCAGAUGAGAUGUCACUUCCGUACCACAGGAUCAGACACACAGAAACGAGUUAAGAUUUCUUGAAUUAUUAAAAGGAAUCCAAGUCCUACAUCAAAAGUUUUAAUACUUUAACUACAUCAAAACAUUCUAUAUUGAAUAUCCAUGAAAUAGUGGCAUAAACUGAUGGGCGAGUGCCUCCAUAAGAUUAUUAAUCAGCAUCUAUUGUAAAAGAGUAGCACCGAGAAAGAUAGUAUCCCAUCCUUCUCACCGGAAUGGCACAACCUUGAGGUUUGGAAAAGUGUCAUCUUUGCGUAACAUUUUUCUUGAAAUCACCAUGUAAUAUCCUGACCUGAUUUUUACACAAUUCAUAGUAUUUUGUCGCGUUGAUCAAGGUGGAGUGAAUCUCGGUGAUUGUGAAUCAAGAUUUGGGGAGAAUAAAAAUCUGGAAAUAUUUUUCAUAAAUGGGGGUUUUAAAAAGAAAAUUUUUGGCACAAGAAUUACUCAAAUCGGAUUUAAAUUGGAUUUAUUAUGAAUUUUUAAAGUUAAUAGGAUUUUUCCAUUUUUGUGAGUCGCAUUUUCGUAAAAUCAUGGGGACUACAGUGAAAAGAUGAAUUAGUUAAUUAAACACCAAAACUUCUUAAAGUUUUCACAAAUACCCUCUUCUAUACAUAGCACACUCUCUCUCCUAUUUCUCUCUCUUAUACACGGGUCCUCCGGUGAUCUAAUGUUUCCGGCGACAGUAAGCGACACCACCGGUACCAAAAGGAGCGCACAGUUGGCAGCAACAUAACCCAAGUAGAAUCACGUCGAUCGGAGUUGUGGUUAGGGAGAUAUCGGAGUUUGAAGUUUCCGGUCACCGUGGGUUUCUUUGGUCGAUCCGGCUGAUUCCGGCGACGGUUUGGCUUGAUUCAGACGGCGAUCUCGAUUGAGAUUCGGAGUGAGUUGACUUUCGAAGUCAGGGGUUUGUCAGGGGCGUGUGGUUGGUAGUUGCAUUCCGAUUUUCAGGUGAGUUGGAUAUAGGUGACGAUGGUCAGUGACGGGAUGCAUGAGCUGGUGUCUAGCCUCGAGCCGACUCUUCUAGCAGGGUGUGAGAUUUUGGUAUUGUAUUUUGUGUAUAUUACUGGGUGUGGCGUUGGGGAGAUACGUUUUGCUUUUCCGUUGUUGUACAUGUACUCCGACUGUUUAGGUGGUUGUUUACAUAGUAUUUUGGAUACAAAACUGUUUAGCAUUGUGUUUUAGGGGUUAUUAUUAUUAUUAUUGUUGUAUUUAUUUAUUGGGUUUAA